rnacentral:rRNA from 1 species
UACGGAGGGGGCUAGCGUUGUUCGGAAUUACUGGGCGUAAAGCGCACGUAGGCGGCUUUUUAAGUCAGGGGUGAAAUCCCGGGGCUCAACCCCGGAACUGCCCUUGAAACUGGAGAGCUAGAAUCUUGGAGAGGCGAGUGGAAUUCCGAGUGUAGAGGUGAAAUUCGUAGAUAUUCGGAAGAACACCAGUGGCGAAGGCGACUCGCUGGACAAGUAUUGACGCUGAGGUGCGAAAGCGUGGGGAGCAAACAGG